rnacentral:misc_RNA from 1 species
ACACCUCAACUCUUCAUGGUUUUCCUUGAUGAGCUUGGACUUUGGGGGUCUUGCUGGCCUGUGGGUCGGCUCCCCUCAAAUGAAUCAGCUUGCCAGUGUUUUGGUGGCAUCACAGGUGUGAUAACUAUCUAUACUUGUGGUUUUCCACCAAGUAACCUUCAGCAAUGGGGGUUCGCUGGAGCUCACAAAUGUCUCUCAUCAGUGGGGGACAGCCCUUUUGAAC